GUCAACUACCCCCGCCUAAAGAGGUGGAGACUUGCAAAAGCUCAAGUUGACUAGCCUAAGUUCCAUGAGAACUCCGUUGCAUAUGUUAUCUCACCCUUGGAUGAUGCUCUAGUCCGAGGCUCUGA
rnacentral:sRNA from 1 species